GGGGCAGACCUGGAUUUGACAGCGUGUAGAAUAGGUAUGUAAGCAUGUCGGGCGCAGCGAAACCGUCCCGUAAAACUCGGACGCAGAAAUUUUAAUUGGCGAGAAUAACUACGCUCUUGCUGCCUAAUCGAAGUAUAGUAGAUAGGGCUUAAUCUCGGUGCAAGGCGCUGAGACAAGACAUCCGGUUGAUGGUUUUACCUCAUUCCUCUCAACGUAUCGGGUGCUGGCAAUAUGGGGUUAGUCAUGAAGUUCCUCGAUUUAUGACGAAAUUUUAGAGGAUAAGAUUCGGCAUUGGGUGCCUUUUCCCGAACCGGAUACGAAAAACAACAAAAGGAUAAGCAUGUAGAAAGCAUAUUGAUUCCAUGUUUGGACCAGGGUUCGAUUCCCUGCUGCUCCACCA
rnacentral:tmRNA from 1 species